CGGGACCGAACCCUACGACCCGAAAAACGGGAAAGGGGGGUAAAGGUUAAAACCUAACUUAGGAAACGAGGUGCUAAUACCGCAUAACCAUAGUUACCGCAUGGUAACUAUAGUAAAAGGUGGCUAUGCUACCGCUUUUGGAUGGGCCCGCGGCGCAUUAGCUAGUUGGUGGGGUAAAGGCUUACCAAGGCAAUGAUGCGUAGCCGAACUGAGAGGUUGAUCGGCCACAUUGGGACUGAGACACGGCCCAAACUCCUACGGAAGGCAGCAG
rnacentral:rRNA from 1 species